UCCGUGCGCCCUCUCUCUUUUGCCGAAUGCGAUAGCGAUGAGAGGCACGGCUAGACCAGAGAUUCGCCAUUUAUUAUCUGAUGGUGUCUGUUUCAAUACAGUGAUUGGAGAAUACAGAAGCUGGAAGUAAAUCAUACGACAAUUGUACCAACGUGUGGAGUCUUUUCAUUUAAAAACAUACACAACGCAGAGCGAACCCACUACAAAUUGGUGCCGUGACCCAUCGUUUGGUUU